UACGGGGGGGGCAAGCGUUGUUCGGAAUUACUGGGCGUAAAGGGCUCGUAGGCGGCCAACUAAGUCAGACGUGAAAUCCCUCGGCUUAACCGGGGAACUGCGUCUGAUACUGGAUGGCUUGAGUUUGGGAGAGGGAUGCGGAAUUCCAGGUGUAGCGGUGAAAUGCGUAGAUAUCUGGAGGAACACCGGUGGCGAAGGCGGCAUCCUGGACCGGCAUUGACGCUAAAGCGCGAAAGCCAGGGGAGCAAACGGG
rnacentral:rRNA from 1 species